UUCUACCUACAGAACACUCAGGCUUGGGAAGGUUUGAGACUUGCCUUGAACACACUCAGCUGGGACGGUCAGGGCAGGGUUCGGACUCAGGUUUGUGUGGUUCCCAGUCCUUCCUCUCCCCACACUGCUUUUUAUAAGACUUCGGUCCAAGCAACAUCUAAAUGCUUGAAUGUGGUGUUUUGGAGAAGGUGCUGGAAGCCAGAGAGGAGCAGACAAAGAAAAACAAACAAAAACCUCCGAAAAUCAAACGGGCUUGGGAGGAGGCCUGGCGAAGCAGCGUUCUUUGGCAGAGUCACGGCCAACACAUCAAAAGGCACCCUGCGGGGAGAGGAAGGAUGACUCUGCACCCUGGCCCCCCUCCUGCCUCCCACGGAAGGGCUGAAGUCUAGUCCCGGAUGUCAUGGCCGGCAGCAGCCCUGCCAGUCCUCAGCCUCACAGGGCCAAGGAUCCCGUCCUCAGAAGCCACUUCGUCACAAUAAGUCCACGUAUGCACAGAGCAAAAGACAACAUGAGGUGCUUCCUUUGUUCAUUGACCGAAACCCAGAAAUAAAUAUGAACGGAAGGAGAGAUGAGCCCUGAGCACCCGGCAGUUGGACAUUCUACCGCACAAUCC